GAUGGACGCUGGCGGCGUGCCUAAUACAUGCAAGUCGAGCGAACGGACGAGAAGCUUGCUUCUCUGAUGUUAGCGGCGGACGGGUGGGUAACACGUGGAUAACCUACCUAUAAGACUGGGAUAACUUCGGGAAACCGGAGCUAAUACCGGAUGAUAUUUUGAACCGCAUGGUUCAAAAGUGAAAGACGGUCUUGCUGUCACUUAUAGAUGGAUCCGCGCUGCAUUAGCUAGUUGGUAAGGUAACGGCUUACCAAGGCAACGAUGCAUAGCCGACCUGAGAGGGUGAUCGGCCACACUGGAACUGAGACACGGUCCAGACUCCUACGGGAGGCAGCAGUAGGGAAUCUUCCGCAAUGGGCGAAAGCCUGACGGAGCAACGCCGCGUGAGUGAUGAAGGUCUUCGGAUCGUAAAACUCUGUUAUUAGGGAAGAACAUAUGUGUAAGUAACUGUGCACAUCUUGACGGUACCUAAUCAGAAAGCCACGGCUAACUACGUG
rnacentral:rRNA from 1 species